CUCCUCGCCGCCGCGGCGGCAGGCGCGGGGCCGCGCCGCGAGGCCUGAUCCCUGCAGCGCGGGCAGGCGGCGUCGCAGAGCGGAGCUAGCUGGAUGCGUCCGGACUCCUGCAGGUGAGAGUGAUUUUCCAGUGAUUGCUUUGGCCUGUACAACCAGAGAACAGGAUUCUUCCCUUCUUUUUGGCCACCAAAUGCCUAUGUGCACCACACAUUCCAGUGUGCUGAGAAGGGCAGAGCUUCUUGGAUGAUGAUGGAUGUCCCACCGGGCAGGAUGAAGGCAGAGCGUGUGGCAUCUCCACCUCAAGGGUCUGUGAGAGCCACUUCAGGAAUUUUUUGCUUGGAGUUACAUGACGAAAUUUGCAUUUCAGAAAGGCCACCUGAUACUGUAUGGAGGAUGGCCUAGAGGGCUGAACUGAUGCUUGAAGGCCCUGGAGCAAGCUUUUUAUGAUGCUUCUAUGGCACCAUCUGCCAACUGGAAAAAUGACCCUGCUCUGCACACAGACCUGUGUUCCUGUGGGCAGAGACCCCUCUGUCAGUUCUCAGAUGGGGAACCUGGAGCAUAGAGGGGGAAGCCACAGUUUCUUCA
rnacentral:sRNA from 1 species